UGAGACCCGUCUUCAGCCAAGGACGGGUUGAGAAGGAACUGAGGGGGGUGCGGGAUGCGAGUGUUCAGGCAGACUCUAACGAGACCACGAGACAGCAGCUGGGUGCGUGCGUCCCGGCCAGGCACUGCUACCGAAGAUCUCCGAUCAACGGCGCCGGGACGCACCGUGACCUGGAGUGAAGCACCCACAGGGACAGCACUCAAAGGAGAAUCAGUGCUAGCCAGGGGGUGUUGGUGAGAAACCGCUGACAGGGGAAGAUUAAUGAUUGCUAAAGCUGCUUGCCAGCUUCAUUAUGUGGAAUCUGGUCUGGUAAGAUUUGAGUGUGAUCCUCUCACUAUACCAAUCGCCAUACAGGAGAGAGACAUUAAUUAGUCCAAAGAGACGCUCUUCUAUAGAAAUCGUGAUGCUCUUCCCAAAAAAGGAAACCCAGUGAUACCAGACGGGCUAUGGCUGGAGCUCACAACUGGAAACUCCCCACAUCUGGAUUGAGGAAUCAUCAACCAAAGAACUGAAGACUCUUAUCGUUGUUCUACCCUCCUCCCUGUGAAGACAAGUCAUGAGAGUGGACUCCUCCCAUCAGCUGUGUUAGCAGCUAAGAGCACAUGGCAGGAGGGGGAUAAAAGCCCCAAACCAAAGGGAACUAAGGAUUUCUAUGUUGCUGGGACUCUGGGGGGUGAUGGUGGGAGGGGGAGUUUCCUAGACAUAAGCAAAAGCUGCUUAGAGUGGGUUAGCCCUAAAGGACAAAUA